UACGGGGGGGGGCAAGCGUUGUUCGGAAUUACUGGGCGUAAAGGGCUCGUAGGUGGCCAACUAAGUCAGACGUGAAAUCCCUCGGCUUAACCGGGGAACUGCGUCUGAUACUGGAUGGCUUGAGAUUGGGAGAGGGAUGCGGAAUUCCAGGUGUAGCGGUGAAAUGCGUAGAUAUCUGGAGGAACACCGGUGGCGAAGGCGGCAUCCUGGACCAACACUGACACUGAGGAGCGAAAGCCAGGGGGAGCAAACGGG
rnacentral:rRNA from 1 species